rnacentral:lncRNA from 1 species
CAUCCCAGAGUCUUAUGCCAACUUUGUCCCAAACUGCCCCACCAGUAUGUAUUGAUACGAUCCUUGAGCGUACCGUCCAAUAACUUUUGCACUGCCGCUUUUGCUCGUUGUAUUGCGGUCGUAGCGUUCUUUUCCCAGUCGAGGCAGCAGAAGCCCGGAACUCCGCCUUCCUCAGCCACUGCCUUUUCCAGCUGCGUGAGCAGCUUGUCAUCUAUUGGCUGCCACGUCCUGCACUGUCCAUCCACACCCCCAUCAUGCACCAGGACCGGAUGGAGCAGUCCCGCCCCGUCCUCCGCUCUCACCGUGCAGUUCUGCAGCACGCACUCUCCAGCCCGGACAGUCCAUCUCCCCUUCUCCAAGUCCCGCUCCGUCACGACCCCAGCGCCACGCUGCUCCUUUCUCCGCAUCUUUAAAAGCUGCCCCACCCGUGCGGCCAGUCGCCGCACCUCACCGUGCAAGCCGUCUGUGGGCUCCUGCCGCACGGCCACUCCUCCUCCUUCUGCCUUGGACCCCUCCUCCUCUUUGUUUGCCAACGUAUCGAAAACGGCACUUUUCAAAUCCGCCUUCCCGCUCGCACUGCUCCGCCCCUCUUCCUGGAAUGGCGGGGAAACUAAAAAGUGGAGUCCCCGCCGCACCAGAAAACGGAUCCGCCUGCUCUGGGAACCGCACGGGACCCGCAGUUCCGUAGCCCCAACCCGCCCCUCCUGCACGACCCCACUGCGACAGCGCGGCCGGGACCGCCCCGGGGCCCAGCAUCGGCGCCGCCCACAAGGGCUCCGUGCUCCUCUUUUCCUCCGCCUUCUCUUCCUUCUCCGCCAGCGCCGGACUAGUCGGUCGCUGUUCCCCGGUUUCUUCCCCAGCCUUGCCCUCCUGUUUUUCCUUGCCGUUUUUUCCCAACUGCCUCGUCCCCCUCCUUCACCUCUACGGCUGCCCCUUGCUGUUUAUGUGGACAUUGCCGUGCCACGUGGGGACCUCCGCACUCCCAGCAUUUCAAGGGAGUUUUGCUUCUUGCAGCCCCUUUGGUUCUGCAAUCCUUAG